rnacentral:rRNA from 1 species
AGCGAACGUUAGCGGCACGCCUAACACAUGCAAGUCGCACGAGAAAGGGAGCAAUCCUGAGUAGAGUGGCGCACGGGUGCGUAACACGUAGAUAACCUGCCCUUUGGAGGGGGAUAACGUUCCGAAAGGAGCGCUAAUACCGCAUACAGCAAGAGCCGGUUUGCCGGUUUUUGGCAAAGGUAGGGACCCGCAAGGGCCUACCGCCAGAGGAGGGGUCUGCGGCCCAUCAGCUAGUUGGUGAGGUAAUGGCUCACCAAGGCAGAGACGGGUAGCUGGUCUGAGAGGAUGAUCAGCCACACUGGUACUGGAACACGGACCAGACUCCUACGGGAGGCAGCAGUGGGGAAUCUUGGUCAAUGGGCGCAAGCCUGAACCAGCGAUGCCGCGUGAGUGAUGAAGGCC